UUAUACCCGGUAUGACUGGUCAUUCUUCUGGUCAUGGAUAUCCACCGGGGCAGUACCCUCCGCCGCCUGGUGCUUACCCUCCGCAUCAAGGGUAUCCUCCUCAAGGAUAUCCUCCUCAGGGUUAUCCUCCACAGGGAGGAGGAUACCCACCUGCAGGAUAUCCUCCACAAGGAUAUCCUCCCGCUGGUGGUCACCACGCUCCUCCACACCAAUCAGGUAUUAUCUUUGGAACUGAUUUAUUUAGGCCCCAAUGAAUAAUAGAAAGCUGUAACUAUAGCAAGUGCACAAUAUGUUGGAUUUGUCUAGUUAAAUUUCUUUGGAUCUCUUUUACAAUUAGAUGCACAAAUAUGGAAAGAACAGUUUAUAUAUUGUGAGCACUGAAGCAGAGUACAUACAAUUCUAGGUGUGCUUCAUAAUAGAUAGCUCUUUGUGACCAAAUACUUUUUGACAUUUUCUUUCAUUGUUGAUGGUAUUUUUUGCCCUUUUGUUGCUUGUUACAUUUCAGGUCAUGGGGGCAUGGGGGCGAUGUUAGCCGGAGGUGCUGCAGCUGCAGCUGCUGCCUAUGGUGCUCAUCACCUGGCACACGGAAGUGGAUCUCACAUGGGACACGGUGCUGCUCACUAUGGACAUGGAGGCGGUCAUUAUGGAGGCGGUCAUUAUGGAGGCAAGUUUAAGCAUGGCAAGCAUGGGAAAUUCAAGCACGGAAAGCAUGGCAAAGGCGGGAUGUUCGGAGGCAAAUUCAAGAAGUGGAAGUAAACAAGUGUCUUACUUAUAAUAUCAACUUCACCUGGUUUUUUACAUUGUGUGCUAAUACUCCGUCUUUAAAUAAGACAUACUACAUGUUAUAAUUGGCCUAUAGGCCUGUGAGAUGUUCUCUUGUUAUAUUGCAUUUUCAAUCAAUGCUAAAUUGUGUGAGACUAUGCAGUUGGAUUGCCGCAGAUGGCCUAAAACUGUUCUUUGUUUCUUUUCUUCUGUAUUACUGCAUUUCCUCAUUGAAAAUAGACUCGGGAAUUCGGAAUAGUUGUAGAAUGAGGAAAUCAAAUAUAGGAGCGUCCUUUGGUACAGUAUCGCACUAGCAACAGUAUCAUUGCAAAAGCUUAGAACUUUUCUGUUAAGAGCUUUUCUUGAAGUUUUAUUUUCAAUUGUUUAUUUCUGUACGAUGCUAGAAGUUAUGAAGUAAAAUGUAGUUGAAAAACUUUGAACUUUUUAAUUUUUUUUCCUC
rnacentral:lncRNA from 1 species